UUGAAUUUUUUUAAUACUUGAUUCCUUGAUAUCUCAUAAACUCUCCGAUCUGUACAUUAAUUUUUUUAAAAAAAUACUUGAUUUAACUCGAUUCUUAAGUAUAAUUAGGUGCUUAAAUUUUAAAUACUAAUUUUUUUGUAGACUUAAAAAAAAUUAAAAUUUUUAUUAUCUCUCCAACUUAAUCGAUAUUAUCCUCAAUGGAGUAGAAACAUAAAGGGUACAUACAAAG
rnacentral:lncRNA from 1 species